rnacentral:rRNA from 1 species
GACGAACGCUGGCGGCGUGCUUAACACAUGCAAGUCGAACGGAAAGGCCUCUUUCGGGGGGUACUCGAGUGGCGAACGGGUGAGUAACACGUGAGUAACCUGCCCUUGACUUUGGGAUAACUUCAGGAAACUGGGGCUAAUACCGGAUAGGAGCUCCUGCUGCAUGGUGGGGUUGGAAAGUUUCGGCGGUUGGGGAUGGACUCGCGGCUUAUCCGCUUGUUGGUGGGGUAGUGGCUUACCAAGGCUUUGACGGGUAGCCGGCCUGAGAGGGUGACCGGCCACAUUGGGACUGAGAUACGGCCCAGACUCCUACGGGAGGCAGCAGUGGGGAAUAUUGCACAAUGGGUGGAAGCCUGAUGCAGCAACGCCGUGUGCGGGAUGACGGCCUUCGGGUUGUAAACCGCUUUCGCUCAUGACGAAGCUUUGUGUGACGGUAGUGGGUAAAGAAGCACCGGCUAACUACGUG